rnacentral:rRNA from 1 species
CCCGCUGAACUUAAGCAUAUCAAUAAGCGGAGGAAAAGAAACUAACAAGGAUUCCCCUAGUAACUGCGAGUGAAGCGGGAAAAGCUCAAAUUUAAAAUCUGGUGGUCUUUGGCCGUCCGAGUUGUAAUUUAGAGAAGCGUCUUCCGCGCCGGACCGUGCACAAGUCUCCUGGAAUGGAGCGUCAUAGAGGGUGAGAAUCCCGUCUUUGGCACGGAUGCCUGGUGCUUCUGUGAUGCGCUCUCGAAGAGUCGAGUUGUUUGGGAAUGCAGCUCAAAACGGGUGGUAAACUCCAUCUAAAGCUAAAUACUGGCGAGAGACCGAUAGCGAACAAGUACCGUGAGGGAAAGAUGAAAAGGACUUUGAAAAGAGAGUUAAACAGUAUGUGAAAUCGUUGAAAGGGAAACGCUUGAUGUCAGUCGCGUCGGCCGGGGGUCAACCUUGCUUCACCGCUCGGUGUAAUUCUCGGUCGACGGGUCAGCAUCUGCUUCGGUCGUCGCACAAUGGCGGGGGGAACGUGGCACUUUGGUGUGUUAUAGCCCUCCGUCGUCUGCGGCGGUUGGGGCCGAGGACUCUCAGUGCUUGCCGCUGAGAUGCUGGCGUAAUGGCCUUAAGCGACCCGUCUUGAAACACGG